GAGUGAACGCUGGCGGUAGGCCUAACACAUGCAAGUCGAACGGCAGCACAGUAAGAGCUUGCUCUUACGGGUGGCGAGUGGCGGACGGGUGAGGAAUACAUCGGAAUCUACUUUUUCGUGGGGGAUAACGUAGGGAAACUUACGCUAAUACCGCAUACGACCUACGGGUGAAAGCAGGGGAUCUUCGGACCUUGCGCGAUUGAAUGAGCCGAUGUCGGAUUAGCUAGUUGGCGGGGUAAAGGCCCACCAAGGCGACGAUCCGUAGCUGGUCUGAGAGGAUGAUCAGCCACACUGGAACUGAGACACGGUCCAGACUCCUACGGGAGGCAGCAGUGGGGAAUAUUGGACAAUGGGCGCAAGCCUGAUCCAGCCAUACCGCGUGGGUGAAGAAGACCUUCGGGUUGUAAAGCCCUUUUGUUGGGAAAGAAAAGCAGCAGGUUAAUACCCCGCUGUUCUGACGGUACCCAAAGAAUAAGCACCGGCUAACUUCGUG
rnacentral:rRNA from 1 species